rnacentral:rRNA from 1 species
GUGGGGAAUAUUGGACAAUGGGGGCAACCCUGAUCCAGCAAUGCCGCGUGAGUGAAGAAGGCCUUAGGGUUGUAAAGCUCUUUCGCUCGUGACGAUGAUGACGGUAACGAGAGAAGAAGCCCCGGCUAAUUCCGUGCCAGCAGCCGCGGUAAUACGGAAGGGGCUAGCGUUGUUCGGAUUUACUGGGCGUAAAGCGCAUGUAGGCGGCGGAUCAAGUGAGGCGUGAAAGGCCUGGGCUCAACCUGGGAACGGCGCUUCAGACUGAUUGGCUAGAGUUCGGGAGAGGGUGGUGGAAUUUCCAGUGUAGAGGUGAAAUUCGUAGAUAUUGGAAGGAACACCGGUGGCGAAGGCGGCCACCUGGCCCGAAACUGACGCUCAAGUGCGAAAGCGUGGGGAGCAAACAGGAUUAGAAACCCCAGUAGUCC